GACGAACGCUGGCGGCGUGCCUAAUACAUGCAAGUCGAACGCUUCUUUUUCAUCGAACUUCGGUUCACCGGAAAAGAGGAGUGGCGAACGGGUGAGUAACACGUGGGUAACCUACCCAUUAGAGGGGGAUAACACUUGGAAACAGGUGCUAAUACCGCAUAACGCUGUUUUUCGCAUGAAAGACAGCUGAAAGGCGCUUUUGCGUCACUAAUGGAUGGACCCGCGGUGCAUUAGCUAGUUGG
rnacentral:rRNA from 1 species